UGAGUACGAGAUGCUACGGCAUCGAAGCAGUCUAUGUCAUACUUCCAAGAAAAGCUUGCACUGUCAGAAACAGAUAAUGCCUGUACCAUAACCGACACAGGUGGGUAGGUAGAGUAUACUAAGGGGCGCGAGAUAACUCUCUCUAAGGAACUCGGCAAAAUGACUCCGUAACUUCGGGAGAAGGAGUGCCUUAUUUUUAAGGUUGCAAUAACAAGAUCCAAGCAGCUGUUUACCAAAAACACAGGUCUCCGCUAAGUCGUAAGACGAUGUAUGGGGGCUGACGCCUGCCCAGUGCCAGAAGGUUAAAGAAGUCGGUUAGCAUUCGCGAAGCUGGUAACUGAAGCCCUGGUGAACGGCGGCCGUAACAAUAACGGUCCUAAGGUAGCGAAAUUCCUUGUCGGGUAAGUUCCGACCCGCACGAAAGGCGUAAUGAUUUGGAUACUGUCUCGGAGAGGGGCUCGGUGAAAUAGACUUGUCUGUGAAGAUGCGGACUACCUGCACCUGGACAGAAAGACCCUAUGAAGCUUUACUGUAACUUGAAAUUGAAAUUGGACUUUAUUUGCGCAGUAUAGGUGGGAGGCGUUGAAAAUAUUCUUGCGGGAAUAUUGGAGCCAUCAGUGAGAUACCACUCUUGUAAUGUUAGAUUUCUAACUUUAUAUCAUUAUCUGGUUAAAGAACAGUUUCAGGCGGGCAGUUUGACUGGGGCGGUCGCCUCCCAAAUGGUAACGGAGGCGCACAAAGGUUUCCUCUGAACGGGUAGAAAUCGUAUCUAGAGUGUAAAGGCAUAAGGAAGCUUGACUGUGAGACCUACAAGUCGAGCAGGGACGAAAGUCGGUCUUAGUGAUCUGACGGUGCUGAGUGGAAAGGCCGUCACUCAACGGAUAAAGUUACUCUAGGGAUAACAGGCUGAUCUCCCCCAAGAGUUCACAUCGACGGGGAGGUUUGGCACCUCGAUGUCGGCUCAUCGCAUCCUGGGGCGGUAGUACGUCCCAAGGGUUGGGCUGUUCGCCCAUGAAAGCGGUACGCGAGCUGGGUUCAGAACGUCGUGAGACAGUUCGGUCCAUAUCCGGUGUAGGCGUUAGAAUAUUGAGAGGAGCCUUCUUUAGUACGAGAGGACCGAGAAGGACAUACCUCUGGUGUACCAGUUAUCGUGCCAACGGUAAACGCUGGGUAGCUAUGUAUGGAGUGGAUAACCGCUGAAAGCAUCUAAGUGGGAAGCCCACCUCAAGAUAAGUAUUCUC
rnacentral:rRNA from 1 species